UACGUAGGGGGCAAGCGUUGUCCGGAAUCAUUGGGCGUAAAGAGCGUGUAGGCGGCCCGAUAAGUCCGCCGUGAAAGUCCAGGGCUCAACCCUGGAAUGCCGGUGGAAACUGUCGGGCUGGAGUCCGGAAGAGGCGAGUGGAAUUCCUGGUGUAGCGGUGAAAUGCGCAGAUAUCAGGAAGAACACCGAUGGCGAAGGCAGUUCUCUGGGACGGUACUGACGCUGAGAACGCGAAAGCGUGGGGAGCGAACAGG
rnacentral:rRNA from 1 species